rnacentral:rRNA from 1 species
AUGGCUGAUUUGAGGAGCGGCGAAGUGGAGGCGGAGAUGCAGCCUCGCGCCAACACGGAUUUGACAAUGGAGAUGGUGGAUUCCAAGGGGAAAGCCGCAGGAAAGCUGGUCGGCGAACCCGCGGAUGCAGAGGGCCAGGUCAGGGAGAUGAUGGAGCGUCUCAAUCUCACUUCGGCAGAGGCGGAUGCCCUCAUCUUGGAAUAUGAGAAUGAAGCUGAUUUGGUGAAUCUGGAAUUUGCCUUAAUUGGUAAGGUAUUAUCCCCACAUGCUCUACAUAUACAGACUAUCAUGUCGGCGCUUAGACCAGCUUGGGCGAAUCCAAAAGGUUUAGUUGCAAAACCAGUGUCAAACAAUAUUUUCAUUGUUGAGUUUGCAACUAAAUCAGACAAAGAAAGAGUGAAAGAUGGUGCUCCAUGGACAGUGGGGAAACAUGCGGUGUUGCUCAAUAAAUUUGAUCCAAAGGAGAAACCCUCUGGUGUUUGUUUUCAAUACCAUUAUGUUGUGGGCAAGAAUCAUGAACCCUCGUUUCGAGCUAAUGAAUAA